AAGUCGUAACAAGGUUUCCGUAGGUGAACCUGCGGAAGGAUCAUUAACACGUAUCCACGUACCCACCAUUGUGCAUGAAAAUCUCCCUGAAAAUUAUUUUUCAGGCUACUUCUUUUUUCAUACAAACUUAUUUCACAAUUUGAACAACUUCUAUAAAAUAUUGCAAGUUGACUUAUUAUAUUGAAAAAAUGAAAAUUUUUUCUAUUUUCUUAUUUUAAUCGAUAGGAAUAUCAUAAAGUACAACUCUUAGCAAUGGAUAUCUUGGCUCUC
rnacentral:misc_RNA from 1 species